rnacentral:tRNA from 1 species
GGUGGCAUAAUGGGUAAGAGCUUGGCUGCUAACCAAAGGGUUGGUGGUUCAAAUCCACCAGCCACUC